GGGGUCGAUUUGGUUUUGACAGUGAGUCUAAUUGAAUGGUAAGCACGUCGAGCGCUGGGAUACAGCUCGUAAAUCUCAUAUUUCACACUUUUUUAAACGGCGAGAAUAACUACGCCUUGGCUGCGUAAUCCGAAUUAUAGUAGGAUACCUUAGUCCCUGUUAGACAGGGAGCCAAGAUGUCUCGUGGCAGCCUUGAUUUACGGCGACCACAAUUGAGGCACCGAUAAAGUAACUCUAGAAACUGUAGGGUCUUGAUACAGUUUUGAAAUUUAAUUGAGAAUAAGUAUGUAGUUGGUGGCUUUCGGCCGGCUGCAUAUCGAAAAACAAACGAGAGAUAAGCGUGUAGAAAGCUAUUGAAUUGCUUGUUUGGACGGGAGUUCGAGUCUCCCCGACUCCACAA
rnacentral:tmRNA from 1 species